rnacentral:lncRNA from 10 species
UGAUCUCGGCUCGCUACAACCUCCUCCCAGCCGCCUGCUUUGGCCCCCCAAAGAGCCGAGAUUGCAGCCUCUGCCCCGCCGCCACCCCAUCUGGGAAGUGAGGAGCUUCUCUGCCUGGCCGCCCAUCGUCUGGGAUGUGAGGAGCCCCUCUGCCUGGCUGCCCAGUCUGGAAAGUGAGGAGCGUCUCUGCCAGGCCGCCCAUCGUCUGGGAUGUGGGGAGCGCCUCUGCCCCGCCGCCCCGUCUGGGAUGUGAGGAACGCCUCUGCCUGGCCGCGACCCCGUCUGGGAGGUGAGGAGCGUCUCUGCCCGGCCGCCCCGUCUGAGAAGUGAGACCCUCUGCCUGGCAACCGCCCCGUCUGAGAAGUGAGGAGCCCCUCCGCCCGGCAGCCGCCCCGUCUGAGAAGUGAGGAGCCCCUCCGUCCGGCAGCCACCCCGUCUGGGAAGUGAGGAGCGUCUCCGCCCGGCAGCCACCCCAUCCGGGAGGGAGGUGGGGGUCACCCCCGCCAGGCCAGCCGCCCCGUCCGGGAGGGAGGUGGGGGGGUCAGCCCCCCGCCCGGCCAGCCGCCCCGUUCGGGAGGGAGGUGGGGGGGUCAGUCCCCCGCCCGGCCAGCCGCCCCGUCCGGGAGGCGAGGGGCGCCUCUGCCUGGCCACCCCUACUGGGAAUUGAGGAGCCCCUCUGCCCGGCCAGCCGCCCCGUCCGGGAGGGAGGUGGGGGGGGGUCAGCCCCCCGCCCGGCCAGCCUCUCCGUCCGGGAGGUGAGGGGCGCCUCUGCCCGGCCGCCCCUACUGGGAAGUGAGGAGCCCCUCUGCCUGGCCACGACCCCAUCUGGGAGGUGUACCCAACAGCUCAUUGAGAACGGGCCAUGAUGACAAUGGCGGUGUUGUGGAAUAGAAAGGCGGGAAAGGUGGGGAAAAGAUUGAGAAAUCGGAUGGUUGCCGUGUCUGUGUAGAAAGACGUAGAUAUGGGAGUCUUUUCAUUUUGUUCUGUACUAAGAAAAAUUCUUCUGCCUUGGGAUCCUGUUGAUCUGUGACCUUACCCCCAACCCUGUGCUCUCUGAAACAUGUGCUGUGUCCACUCAGGGUUAAAUGGAUUAAGGGCGGUGCAAGAUGUGCUUUGUUAAACAGAUGCUUGAAGGCAGCAUGCUCGUUAAGAGUCAUCACCACUCCCUAAUCUUAAGUACCCAGGGACACAAACACUGCCGAAGGCCGCAGGGUCCUCUGCCUAGGAAAACCAGAGACCUUUGUUCACUUGUUUAUCUGCUGACAUUCCCUCCACUAUCGUCCUAUGACCCUGCCAAAUCCCCCUCUGCAAGAAACACCCAAGAAUGAUCAAUUAAAAAAAAAUAAAUAAAUAAAUAAUAAGGAUAUAUUCUGGCCGGGUGCGGUGGUUCACGCCUGAAAUCCCAGCACUUUGGGAGGCUGAGGGGUUUGAGACCAGCCUGGGCAACAUGGUGUAAACCCCGUCUAUACUAAAAAUGCAAAAAUUAGCCGGGCAUGGUGGUGCGCGCCUGUAGUCCCAGCUACUCGGGAGGCUGAGGCAGGAGAAUCGCUUGAACCCAGGAGGCAGAGGUUGCAGUGAGCCAAGAUUGCACCACUGCACUCCAGCCUGGGCGACAGAGUGAGACUCGGUCUCAAAAAAAAAAAGGAUACAUUCUGAGAAAUGCAUUGUUGGGCAAUUUCAUCAUUAUGGAGUGUACUGACACAAACCUAGAUGGUAUAGCUGACUGAACACUUAGGCUACAUGGUAUAACCUGUUGCUCCUAAACUACAAAGCUAUACAGUAUGUUACUGUACUGAAUACAGUUGGAACACUGUAGGGACCAGCCCUACAAGGUCUGUGGGUUUUUCUCCCUGUGUGCAGAGACUAGAGGUGGUAGAAAUAAAGACACAAGACAAAGAGAUAAAAGACACCUGGGCCCGGGUGAGCCACUACCACCAAGACACAGAGACUGAUAGUGGCCCCGAAUGCCAGGCUGCACUGUUAUUUAUUGGAUACAAGACAAGGGGGGCAGGGUAAGGAGUGUGAGCCAUCUCCAAUGAUAGGUAAGGUCACGUGGGUCACGUGUCCACUGGACAGGGGGCCCUUCCCUGUUUGGCAGCUGAAGCGGAGAGAGAGAGAAGACAGCUUACGCAUUAUUUCUGCAUAUCAGAGACUUUUAGUACUUUCACUAAUUUUGUUACUGCUAUCUAGAAGGCAGGGCCAGGUGUACAGGAUGGAACAUGAAAGCGGACCAGUAGUGUGACCACUGAAGCACAGCAUCACAGGAAGACGGUUAGACCUCCAGAUAACUGCGGGCGGGCCUGACUCAUGUCAGGCCCUCCACAAGACAUGGUGGAGUAGAGUCUUCUCUAAACUCCCCCGGGGAAAGGGAGACUCCCUUUGCUGGUCUGCUAAGUAGUGGGUGCUUUUCCUUGGCACUGACGCUACUGCUAGACCACAAUCCGCUUGGUAACAGGCGUCUUCCCAGACGCUAACGUUCCGCUAGACCAAGGAGCCCUCUGGUGGCCCUGUCCGGGCAUAACAGAGGCUCACACACUUGUCUUCUGGUCACUUCUCACCAUGUCCCUUCAGCUCAUACCUCUGUAUGGCCUGGUUUUUCCUAGGUUAUGAUUGUAGAGUGAAGAUUAUUAUAAUAUUUGAAUAAAGAGUAAUUACUACAAACUAAUGAUUAGUGAUACUUGUGUAUAAUCAUAUCUGUGAUCUGUAUCUAGUGUAAUUCUUGUUAUUUUAUAUAUUUUAUUAUACUGAAACAGCCCAUGCCCUCGGUCUCUUGCCUCGGCACCUGGGUGGCUUGCUGCCCACAGAACACAAUGGUAAGUAUUUAUGUAUCUAAACAUAUCUAAACACACAAAAGGUACAGUAAAAAAAACAGCAUGAAAAGUAAAAAAUGGUACACUUGUAUAGGGUACUUACCAAGAAUGGAGGCUGCAGGACUGGAAGUUGCUCUGGAGAGUCGAUGAGAGGUGAGUGAAUGUGAAGGCUAGGACAUUACAGUACAACACUCUAGACUUUAUAAACAUUGUACACUUAAG